GAUCAAGAGAGAGGCACAAAUGAUUCAUUGGAUUAUAUAAUUUUUUUUAGUAAAGAACCCAAACCUGUUUCUCCUUAAUAAUGUGCAUGUGCUGGGGCAUCCCCUGUGCAUAUGGGGAGGCCAGGCUGAUAAAGCCCACAGCGGCCAUCCCACACAGGGCUGCUCCGCUCCCCUCUCCCCACCUCUGCUGCACUCCCCUCUCCCCACCUCUGCUCCGCUCCGCCGCCACCAGCUUUACUUAGCAAACCCAUUCUGUUUAUUUGCUUUCUCAGGCCUAUUUGCAAGUACUUGCAUAAAAUGUGUCCCAAUGCACAGAGGUCCCUCUCCCACUCGCUGCCGCUCCACCGUCUCAUUCCACUCACACAGCGAGCAGAGGACCGAGGCAGCCCUCGCUUUCACCUCAUUCCAUCCCCCUCUGGCGACACGGCCUGCAGGAGGUGGCGUGAUGCACACGAUCACAUUUGUGUAGUAAGAGCUGCAUGUGUUUGGAUUUCAAGCCUUCCACUGUGGCCAUGGGAGCACCCUGAGCCACUGACAUAUUGUUAGCACCCGCCAAUAAAACACUGAAGUGGAGGACUGGCCAUUAUGACCAGUUUAGAAAUGGGCACCUCUGUCCUCAAGAGAUGUGGUGUGCUGUGGUGUGCUGUGUUGUAAUAUUGUGUGUGUGUGUGUGUGUGUGUGUGUGUGUGUGUGUGUGUGUGUGUGUGUGUGUUUAUUGUAAGAAGAAGCAUUACAAGACAUACUGUAUAGAGGGAGCAACAAACUCAGCCAUCCACCUAAAAGACUGUCCAUAUCAUAGUGUGGCCAGCAGUGCCAUUGGACCAGUAAAGUGGUCACAUAAAAACAACGCACACCCACCUCUCACAGCCUUUACAAGAGCUCUACUAUGGGGAGCAAUGCUAUUGCUAUUAAAGCAAGCCCACAUAUCAAAGGCCCACCUCAGUGGUAGGUUCACCACAAAGGCAAGUAGCCGUAAGGCAUAGCCUACACACACACAAAUACACACACACACUCACACACACACACACACACACACUCAUACACAUCCAGACACAAAAUAUGCCUGUAGACAGAUACUUUGAAAUGUUGUGAUUAUGGCUGCAUGCUUUGUUACAUUUGCGUGGAGGGGGCGUCAUACUUAUUCAACUUCACACAACUCCUGUGUUAAUAACAUUUCCAACACUUUCCACUUUUCUGAGUUCAUGUUGAGGCCAUCCUACCACUCAGCAUAAGGGGGAGAAGUGUAGCGCCCCUAGUGAUGAGACUGUCCAAGUGGACCCCUACAGACAGAUAGACCAACAAGUUCAGUAAUUGAGUAGUCUCUCUCUGUCUCUCUCUCUCACUCUCUCUCUCUGUCUGUCUCUCUCUCCUUCUCCUCAUCUGUGCUCUCUCUCUCGGCUGCCUCUCAGUCCCCUGGGUAUUAAACAUUCAUGAGGGGGAUGAAAGGCUGUGGACGGAGUGUGGCAGCAGCUCUCUGGUUAUCCCAAUACACACAAACACACACACACAUACACUCACCUCCUCACACAUAAUGACACAAACACUUUCAUGCCCUCAUUUACACAUAUGCAUUCUCUCUCUCUCUCUUUCUCUCUCUCUCUCUCUCUCAAUCAUACUCACAGAUUCUACACACACAGAAACUACACACACACACACACACACUGAAGCUCCCAUGGUCAUUUGGCAGCACGCUGGCAGCGUGACGGGGAGCCUCUGCUGGCCUCUGCAUGCCCCUGACUGCAGGCUGGCAGGCGGUGGGGUGCAGGGUGGGUGGAGAGGAUGAGAUGGAAAGACACAACUCAUUUCUUCUGAUGUUUUUUUCAUGCCUCCUCUCCCUCUCUUUCUGAUGUGUGAGAGGGGGUUGUGGGGGGUGGCGGCAGGGGCGGUCGGAGCACCCUGCCGGGCUCCAGUUCCGGGGUCUGUGGUUGAAGCGCGCGCCAGGAGCCCACUGCCCCUCAGGGUGCGUCGGGCAGCAGACGGGGGCCGCGGUGAACUGGAGUUCAGCGUUUGAACUCAGCUUGCUCAGCAAUCAUACUGUUGGUGUUGGAAUGACCUAGCAGCCUUGCUACUUUCAGAAUGUCUAAUGAGUUCAUUUGUUUGAGGCAUACACUAUACUGUGGCGCUAUACAUCAAAUAAGUGGUUAUGGGAUGUGUUGACAUGUCCCCUUAAGACCAACAUACAAAAACAAUGUGGUCCUCCUAGGCCCUACAGUUCUCGAGAUAUUCACAGAGGCAAUGGAUCAAAACGAAUAACAAGUUCAGUGUCAUCCUUGUAGGGCUACAUGCCCACCAAGUUCCGUGCACCCCGGCGGUCUUUCAGUGUCCCGGGAAUCGUUGACACAACAUUUUCAGAAGAAAAAAAACUCUAAACUGACUAAACCUAUCUGACUGCCACUUUGUUGCGUAGUGGUCAUAAUAAGUUGCUGCAUGGAUACUACAGCACAUGUUUAACGACUAUUAGCACUAUUAGUAGCACUAUUAUUCAGCAAUAGCAGUAUUCUGUAAUAGCACUGGGUUAAGCAUCACAUCCCAUGGUGUUCAGAUCAAAGACUGAACUCUUUCUCACACACAUACGCACAGAAACAGAGAAGAAGAUGUAUCUAUGAGCUGUUGUGUUGUGAACACAAACUAUUGUCAGUCUGGGUCCAACACAUAAAGGCUGCUCUGUUGUGUUGGGCCAGGCAGGAACAUGCCUGUGAUCAUAUCAGUACAUUACACAACUGCAAUACAUAAAUUACACCACGUAAAAACUUCAUUACUGCCUUUUCAAUUCACUGGGUGGCUUCCUCCUAAUUAAAAAUCCAUCUGAGGGACAGGGGGGAAAUCUGCUGUCUCAGCGCUUUGUCACAUAGAAUUGAUGCUUUAUGAAUUGUCUAAAAGGGGGGUAGGUGCUGGGGGGACUCUCACUAUAACAGUAAUGGCAUUGAAAAAAACAGACAGUCACUGUAAAUGUAGCGAGGCCAAUACUGCUGUCAUGUAGUCAGAGCAACUUCAUACGGUCUUGGCAGAGAUUUAAAAGGUCAUAUUUCACACAGCCACGGUGGCUUCCCAUAACUUUUCUGCAUUAAUAGCGAGUUAGGAAGGCUGGGUUGCCAGGGUUCACCCUCCCCUCCUGUGAAGAAGGUCCUGUUAUAUUCACCUUACCAAAGUACCUGGCCGGCAAUUACCAAACAUUAAACAUGAGACUGUUCACAGACAAAAGGUGGAAAACAACUCCAAAGUGAAAUGGUAUGGUUGUUGAUGUGUAAACUCUUAAAAUGAAUGUGUUGUCCCUAUCUGGACACAGAGAUGUGUUAAAAACAGAGUUUAUGCUUCCUCCACUUGUACUGUAUGUCAAAGGAGCCGUGAUGUAUUGUCUUUGUGCUGGUGGCUGAUGGUGAUGCAUAUGUCACAGAGCGAGGAGCGCAGGAGUCAAACUCCGGUCACUGGAUCCUCUUGCAUCAUUUGGAAUCGACAGGAGCAGGAGCGCCAUAGAGCAUUGCAAAUCUCAGCCUUUCAACAUCAAAACUGGAUGUGGGGGCAGGGAGGCGGCAGCCACAUUUCCAGUUCAAUCAGACGGCUGCUUAACAGACUGAAUGUGGCUGUCUCAAUCAUCUGGCCCACAGUACUCUCGGCAGCAGCCGGUGGCAUGAAGAGCCAUUAAAGCCCACCAAUCAAGAGUGCUUACCAGGCCUUCCUGGGGCGUCAUUAAAGACCUAAUGGCUUUCUCCUAUAUUUAACACCUCAUGUCACCCCCAUCAUUUCUUUUCGUCCACCCCCAACUUCUCUUUUCCAUUUUUCUUUUCUUCUUUUUUUCCGGUUUUUGAGGCAGGCUAACAGUGAGCCGCAGGACAAAAUGAGAGCCAUCCCUCACCGGUCCUCCCCUCUCCCGUCCUGUUCUCCUUGUCUCCCCCGCUGUGGAGCCGUGCGGGGCCUUGGUGCGCCUGUGAUGGCUGCACUGUACAUCGCAGCUGUCAGGUGGACUGAUGGACGCCAGAAUGAGCUGGGCAAUGGCUCUCCAGAGUCUAAAAUCUGCACUGAAAACACCAGACAUCACCAGACUUCACAACAGCCCAGUGGGGUGUCACAACAGAGGCCAAAGAGCCAGGAGAGGAUGCUGUUGGAAAAGGGCUACUGUUCCUCAGCAUUGACCCCUGAGUAUGUAAGCCGUCUGUGUUUCUUCAGCUUCUAUAAACAUCCUCUGUGGCUUCAUUCAUGAGCGCUGCUCACACGUAAUACACUACGAGACUGAUGCCAGUAUACACUGACACGCUGCAGACUCCGUAAGAUGCGCCGGACAUGUGGACAGCUGUGAGCCUGCCCCAAAGUUACAGCAGCGCUGGACUGGUGUUUGUGGAGGGCUAACACAGUACGGUCGGUCACUGCAUUGGGUCAUCCCGGAGUAGAAAGCCAAGUAGGCCAUGGCUAUUUCACUAGUCACAAUAAAGGAAAUCGCCCACCAUUGCACUGAAA